ensembl:rRNA 5S_rRNA 5S ribosomal RNA
GCUUACGGCCAUACCAACCUGGCUAUGCCCGAUCUUGUCUGAUCUCGGAAGCUAAGCAGGUUUGGGCCUGGUUAGUACUUGGAUGGGAGACCGCCUGGGAAUACCAGGUGCUGUAAGCU